rnacentral:rRNA from 1 species
CUACGGGUUGCUCCAGUGAGGAAUUUUGCGCAAUGGGGGAAACCCUGACGCAGCAACGCCGCGUGAGUGAAGAAGGCUUUCGGGUCGUAAAGCUCUGUCAGAUAGGAAAAAAGUUCAUAUGUAAAUAGCUUAUGAAUCUGAUGGUACUAUCAGAGGAAGCACCGGCUAACUCCGUGCCAGCAGCCGCGGUAAUACGGAGGGUGCAAGCGUUGUUCGGAAUUACUGGGCGUAAAGGGCGUGUAGGCGGUAUGGUAAGUCAGAUGUGAAAGCCCUGGGGUUAACUCAGGAAGUGCAUUUGAUACUGCCAUCCUUGAGUAUGGGAGAGGAGAGUAGAAUUCCCAGUGUAGAGGUGAAAUUCGUAGAUAUUGGGAGGAAUACCCGUGGCGAAGGCGACUCUCUGGACCAAUACUGACGCUGAGACGCGAAAGCGUGGGGAGCAAACAGGAUUAGAUACCCUUGUAGUC